rnacentral:rRNA from 1 species
AUGGAGCUUCGGUGGGGGGGCGCCGAUGUUGCGAUGAACCUUCGUCUAGGCCGUCCAGUGCUGCAAUGGAGCUUCACCGGAGGUCCACCAGUGCUGCAAUGGAGCUUCGCUGGUGGCCGCCGGGGUUGCGAUGAAGCAGCAUCGAAGCGGCUUGUGUUUCAAUGGAGCAUCGCCGGUAGCGUCGGGAGCUGCGAUGGAGCGCCGUCGCGCCGAUGUUGUCGCUACAGUGAAGCAACGCCGCCGGCUCCCCGGGCUCCGGUGCAGCUCUCGCUGGCGGCUCCGGGUGAUUCAAGAUUGAAGGAGAGAAGGGAGGCUGAUGUGCGAUACGAGGAGAUCGUUCGUGCGUUGACAAUUCAAACUGGCUAUGGGAAGAAGGAUCCGAUGGUGUUGUGGGACUGA